rnacentral:rRNA from 1 species
GACGAACGCUGGCGGCGCGCCUAACACAUGCAAGUCGAACGGAGUCAAGAGGAGCUUGCUUUUCUUGACUUAGUGGCGAACGGGUGAGUAACGCGUGAGUAACCUGCCCUGGAGUGGGGGACAACAGUUGGAAACGACUGCUAAUACCGCAUAAGCCCACGGAUCUGCAUGGAUCUGCGGGAAAAGGAUUUAUUCGCUCUAGGAUGGACUCGCGUCCAAUUAGCUAGUUGGUGAGGUAACGGCCCACCCAGGCGACGAUUGUUAGCCGGACUGAGAGGUUGAACGGCCACAUUGGGACUGAGACACGGCCCAGACUCCUACGGGAGGCAGCAGUGGGGGAUAUUGCACAAUGGGGGAAACCCUGAUGCAGCGACGCCGCGUGGAGGAAGAAGGUUUUCGGAUUGUAAACUCCUGUCGUUAGGGACGAUAAUGACGGUACCUAACAAGAAAGCACCAGCUAACUACGUG